rnacentral:rRNA from 1 species
GAUGAACGCUAGCGGCGUGCCUAAUACAUGCAAGUCGAGCGAACAGACGAGGAGCUUUCUCCUCUGACGUUAGCGACGGGCGGGUGAGUAACACGUGAAUAACCUACAUAUAAGACUGGGAUAACUUCGGGACACCGGAGCUCCUAACGAAUACUCUAUUUAACAGCAUGGUUCAAUCGUAAAAGACGGUUUUGCUGUCACUUAUAGAUGUCUCCGGCCUGCAUUCGCUAGUUCGUAAGGUAACGGCUUACCAAGGCAACGAGGCGUAGCCGACCUGAGAGGGGGAUCGGCCACCCUGGAACUGAGACACGGUCCAGACUCCUACGGGAGGCAGCAGUAGGGAAUCUUCCGCAAUGGGCGAAAGCCUGACGGAGCAACGCCGCGUGAGUGAUGAAGGUCUUCGGAUCGUAAAACUCUGUUAUUAGGGAAGAACAAAUGUGUAAGUAACUAUGCACGUCUUGACGGUACCUAAUCAGAAAGCCACGGCUAACUACGUG